GACGAACGCUGGCGGCGUGCUUAACACAUGCAAGUCGAACGGAAAGGCCCUGCUUUUGUGGGGUGCUCGAGUGGCGAACGGGUGAGUAACACGUGAGUAACCUGCUCUUGACUUUGGGAUAACUUCAGGAAACUGGGGCUAAUACCGGCUAGGAGCUCCUGCUGCAUGGUGGGGUAUGGAAAGUUUCGGUGGUUGGGGAUGGACUCGCGGCUUAUCAGCUUGUUGGUGGGGUAGUGGCUUACCAAGGCUUUGACGGGUAGCCGGUCUGAGAGGGUGACCGGCCACAUUGGGACUGAGAUACGGCGCAGACUCCUACGGGAGGCAGCAGUGGGGAAUAUUGCACAAUGGGCGGAAGCCUGAUGCAGCAACGCCGCGUGCGGGAUGACGGCCUUCGGGAUGUAAACCGCUUUCGCAUGUGACGAAGCGUGAGUGACGGUAAUGGGUAAAGAAGCACCGACUAACUACGU
rnacentral:rRNA from 1 species